rnacentral:rRNA from 1 species
UACAGAGGGGGCGAGCGUUGUUCGGAAUUACUGGGCGUAAAGGGCGCGUAGGCGGCCUCUUAAGUCGAACGUGAAAUCCCCGGGCUCAACCCGGGAACUGCGUCCGAUACUGGGAGGCUUGAAUCCGGGAGAGGGAUGUGGAAUUCCAGGUGUAGCGGUGAAAUGCGUAGAUAUCUGGAGGAACACCGGUGGCGAAGGCGGCGAACUGGAUAGCAACUGACACUGAACUACGAAAGCGUGGGUAGCAAACAGG